AAUUACUUCAGGCUUCAGAAUCUCCUCCCUGUUAGACUUGUUACAAAGAUAAUAAAGGGCUCCCAGAGCAUAAUUCACCUGAUAAUCAAUUGUUUCUCAGAUGUGUAAGCAUUUACAGAACCAAACAAGCAGAUUUAAUUGAAUUCCAGAGUAACUUCACAUCAGGUAAAUUAAUGUAGUUUAAUAGUAUGAGAAUGCCUCAGGGAGUUCCCUUAAACAAUUUUGUCUUAAACCACCCCAACUCACUUAAAGGAAAAACUAGAUUUUCCCCACUCACUGUAUUUCUGACUGGGCUUGAUAAACACUUAAUGACAAGAGGGAUUCCACCACACUGAGUGAUAAUAGCAGCAUUAGCUGGAUCUGCAAGGGAAAAGAAAGUACUCAUGAUGAAACAGUCAUCAUAUUUCAUAAAGAAAGAAAACCAUAAGUUUAGAACUAAAAGCCAGACUAACCCACACAAGAAUUGCAGAUGCCUCCAAUUCCAAAUUCCAUAAGCUUCUCGUUUGGUUCUGUUAUGCAAUCUAGGAAGAGUUCCAAAACAUUGAGCUGAUAAGAAAGUAAGAUGUUAAUGCAGCAGAACAAGUACAUGAAAGACACUGAUCAAAUUUGAGAAGAAAUUAUUUGACAUAAAACUGGAGUUUG
rnacentral:lncRNA from 1 species